rnacentral:misc_RNA from 1 species
AAGUCGUAACAAGGUUUCCGUAGGUGAACCUGCGGAAGGAUCAUUAACACGUAUCCAAACGUUAAAACCCCCCCCCGUGAACCUUCAUCCUGCUCUUGUAACCCGCGUAGUUCGCAAGAGACCUCUGGCUACGUGCGAACAUUGGAACAGUUACAAUCGAGCGGUAGUUCUAUAGGCAAUGUUUCCCCAAGCAGUCAGUGUCGGAAAGUGUCAUUGAUUGUGCAAGGAUAGCGCUUCUACGAUUCCUGUAGACCGUACACUCGGGCAGGAGCUUUGCCAAAGGGUCCCCAUGCCCCCUAAUAACCCCACAGUUUAAUGUGAAGCUCAAUGUAAUACAUUGGGUAAAAAAACCGAACAACUGUUAACAAUGGAUAUCUUGGUUCUC